rnacentral:rRNA from 1 species
GAUGAACGCUGGCGGCGUGCCUAAUACAUGCAAGUCGAGCGAACGGACGAGAAGCUUGCUUCUCUGAUGUUAGCGGCGGACGUGUGAGUAACACGUGGAUAACCUACCUAUAAGACUGGGAUAACUUCGGGAAACCGGAGCUAAUACCGGAUAAUAUUUUGAACCGCAUGGUUCAAAAGUGAAAGACGGUCUUGCUGUCUCUUAUAGAUGGAUCCGCUCUGCAUUAGUUAGUUGGUAAGGUAACGGCUUACCAAGGCAACGAUGCAUAGCCGACCUGAUAGGGUGAUCGGCCACACUGGAACUGAGACACGGUCCAGACUCCUACGGGAGGCAGCAGUAGGGGAUCUUCCGCAAUGGGCGAAAGCCUGACGGAGCAACGCCGCGUGAGUGAUGAAGGUCUUCGGAUCGUAAAACUCUGUUAUUAGGGAAGAACAUAUGUGUAAGUAACUGUGCACAUCUUGACGGUACCUAAUCAGAAAGCCACGGCUAACUACGUG